rnacentral:tmRNA from 1 species
CUGCCACAAUGACAAGGUCCGUCCUCGGGCGGACUAGGUGGCUCACACCGGUGCUUCGGACAGCGGUUCGAUUCCGCUCAGCUCCAUUCCACCCCCGCUGCGGCGGCGGUUGUCGGGGGGCUGCAAUGGUUUCGACGGGGUAUGAGGAGGGUGACUGAAGCCUGCUCGGUAAGAGCAAACCCGUAACAGCGAACAACAUCGUUCGUUUCUCCCGUCAGACCGCCCCUGUGGCCGCCUGACUCCUAUAGGGAGAUGGGGUAGGUCAGCCUUAUCACCCAAAUGACCCAUGGGGGGCUGGAAGGCCCC